rnacentral:rRNA from 1 species
AUUGGACGCUGGCGGCAUGCCUUACACAUGCAAGUCGAACGGCAGCACGGGUGCUUGCACCUGGUGGCGAGUGGCGAACGGGUGAGUAAUACAUCGGAACGUACCUUAUCGUGGGGGAUAACGCAGCGAAAGUUGCGCUAAUACCGCAUACGCCCUGAGGGGGAAAGCGGGGGACCGUAAGGCCUCGCGCGAUUAGAGCGGCCGAUGUCUGAUUAGCCUGUUGGUGAGGUAAAAGCUCACCGAGGCGAUGAUCAGUAGCUGGUCUGAGAGGACGAUCAGCCACACUGGGACUGAGACACGGCCCAGACUCCUACGGGAGGCAGCAGUGGGGAAUUUUGGACAAUGGGGGCAACCCUGAUCCAGCAAUGCCGCGUGAGUGAAGAAGGCCUUCGGGUUGUAAAGCUCUUUUGUCAGGGAAGAAACAGCAGCUCUAACACAGUCUGCGAAUGACGGUACCUGAAGAAUAAGCACCGGCUAACUACGUGCCAGCAGCCGCCGUAA